rnacentral:rRNA from 1 species
GAUGAACGCUGGCGGCGUGCCUAAUACAUGCAAGUCGAGCGAACAGACGAGGAGCUUGCUCCUCUGACGUUAGCGGCGGACGGGUGAGUAACACGUGGAUAACCUACCUAUAAGACUGGGAUAACUUCGGGAAACCGGAGCUAAUACCGGAUAAUAUAUUUAACCGCAUGGUUCAAUAGUGAAAGACGGUUUUGCUGUCACUUAUAGAUGGAUCCGCGCCGCAUUAGCUAGUUGGUAAGGUAACGGCUUACCAAGGCAACGAUGCGUAGCCGACCUGAGAGGGUGAUCGGCCACACUGGAACUGAGACACGGUCCAGACUCCUACGGGAGGCAGCAGUAGGGAAUCUUCCGCAAUGGGCGAAAGCCUGACGGAGCAACGCCGCGUGAGUGAUGAAGGUCUUCGGAUCGUAAAACUCUGUUAGUAGGGAAGAACAAAUGUGUAAGUAACUAUGCACGUCUUGACGGUACCUAAUCAGAAAGCCACGGCUAACUACGUG